CCCUUAGAUGUUCUGGGCUGCACGCGCGCGACAAUGACGUUUGCAACGAGAUUGCGAGGCCGUCAGGUCGAGCUGAUCUUGCAAGCUGCGUCGUGAUAGGGACAGUCGAUUGCAAUUAUUCGACUCGAACGAGGAAUUCCUUGUAAUCGCGCAUCAUCAGUGCGCGCUGAAUACGUCCCUGCCCUUUGUACACACCGCCCGUCGCGCCUACCGAUUGAGUGAUCCGGUGAAUGUUUUGGAUCGGCUUCAAGUUGGUUCGCGCCUCUUGCUUGCUGUGAAAUCAUGUAAACCUUAUUGCUUAGAGGAAGGAGAAGUCGUAACA
rnacentral:rRNA from 1 species